rnacentral:rRNA from 1 species
UACGGGGGGGGGCAAGCGUUGUUCGGAAUUACUGGGCGUAAAGGGCUCGUAGGCGGCCAACUAAGUCGGAUGUGAAAUCCCCAGGCUUAACCUGGGAACUGCAUCCGAUACUGGAUGGCUUGAAUCCGGGAGAGGGAUGCGGAAUUCCAGGUGUAGCGGUGAAAUGCGUAGAUAUUCGGAGGAACACCAGUGGCGAAGGCGGCUCACUGGCUCGGUACUGACGCUGAGGUGCGAAAGCGUGGGGAGCAAACAGG